rnacentral:snRNA from 1 species
AUGUUAAAGCGGAUUUUUUGUCA